rnacentral:rRNA from 1 species
CCUACGGGUGGCAGCAGUGAGGAAUAUUGGUCAAUGGGCGCUAGCCUGAACCAGCCAAGUCGCGUGAAGGAUGACUGAUCUAUGGUUUGUAAACUUCUUUUAUAUGGGAAUAAAGUGAAGUAUGUAUUCCUUUUUGUAUGUACCUUAUGAAUAAGCAUCGGCUAACUCCGUGCCAGCAGCCGCGGUAAUACGGAGGAUACGAGCGUUAUCCGGAUUUAUUGGGUUUAAAGGGUGCGUAGGUGGUUAAUUAAGUCAGCGGUGCAAGUUUGUGGCUCAACCAUAAAAUUGCCGUUGAUACUGGCUGACUUGAGUAUAUUUGAGGUAGGCGGAAUGCGUGGUGUAGCGGUGAAAUGCAUAGAUAUCACGAAGAACUCCGAUUGCGAAGGCAGCUUACUAAACUAUAACUGACACUGAAGCACGAAAGCGUGGGGAUCAAACAGGAUUAGAUACCCUGGUAGUC